AUUGAACGCUGGCGGCAUGCCUUACACAUGCAAGUCGAACGGUAACAGGUCUUCGGAUGCUGACGAGUGGCGAACGGGUGAGUAAUACAUCGGAACGUGCCCGAUCGUGGGGGAUAACGGAGCGAAAGCUUUGCUAAUACCGCAUACGAUCUACGGAUGAAAGCAGGGGACCGCAAGGCCUUGCGCGGACGGAGCGGCCGAUGGCAGAUUAGGUAGUUGGUGGGAUAAUAGCUUACCAAGCCGACGAUCUGUAGCUGGUCUGAGAGGACGACCAGCCACACUGGGACUGAGACACGGCCCAGACUCCUACGGGAGGCAGCAGUGGGGAAUUUUGGACAAUGGGCGAAAGCCUGAUCCAGCCAUGCCGCGUGCAGGAUGAAGGCCUUCGGGUUGUAAACUGCUUUUGUACGGAACGAAAAGCCUCUUUCUAAUAAAGAGAGGUCAUGACGGUACCGUAAGAAUAAGCACCGGCUAACUACGUGCCAGCCGCCGCGGCAACAC
rnacentral:rRNA from 1 species